rnacentral:rRNA from 1 species
UACGGGGGAGCAAGCGUUGUUCGGAUUUACUGGGCGUAAAGGGCGCGUAGGCGGCCACCGCAAGUCGACUGUGAAAUCUCCGGGCUUAACCCGGAAAGGUCAGCCGAUACUGCGGGGCUAGAGUGCAGAAGGGGCAACUGGAAUUCUCGGUGUAGCGGUGAAAUGCGUAGAUAUCGAGAGGAACACCUGCGGCGAAGGCGGGUUGCUGGGCUGACACUGACGCUGAUACGCGAAAGCUAGGGGGAGCGAACGGG